CAUCCCAGCCGUUCGUCGCCCGUCCUCGCGGAGAGAAGCCUGGCGAACAUGCAAGCUGUGCUCUCAUUGGCUGAAAGUGGUCACGUGGCUGCCUGAGCCCCACCGAGCGGUCUCCGUCUGCUGGAUAGACUAUACAUGGAGCAGGCUUCAAAGUCGCCAGAGAAAGCGGAGUGGGGGAGGGGGACGCGGCUAGACACGAACACGCCACCGGGCUGGGAUGGAAAUGACAGGAACAGUUGUAGCGGGGCGGCCACGGCGGCGAAGGCUUUGCCAAGCGGAUUAAUCAUAUAACAGCCUGCCCGGAUUACCCUUAAAGUUAUCUGGAAUUCAUCUAGAACAAGUAAAACCUGAUUUAAUAGGGCCAGGCUUACUCUGGAGUUACUUUGGCCAUUCAUUUGCAUUAUCCUGGCCCUGGGAAAAUCCAAAAUAAAAAACUAUGAAAUCCAUCUGAAAGAAAUGUAAAAUGAGACUACUCCUUGAUUAAUCUAAGCGCGAUACAGUAAAUUGACUUGUUGUACACGUCUAUACUAUAAACCUUUGUCACUGACCAUGUGACCAUGCAUUUAACCAUUAAUUAUUUGGAUUAUUGUUAAAGCUGAUCUUCUCUGGCUGUUUAGUGCCACAUGUAAAAAAUUUUACUUGUUGUAAAAUCCUUUAAGGAGCAGUAAUAUAGAUAAAUAAUGUUGUUUUUGUGGUCAACUACAACAGUCUAAUUCAAAGUCCCUGGAUGAUCCAAAGUCAGAAAAUACCACAUUAAUAAUCGCACAGAUAUAAGAAUUUAUUUACACAAUAUGUUUAAAUUGAGCAUAGGUUCUGAGACAAGUUGCUUUUGCAAAGAAAAACAAAUGUGGCUGAAAAUGUCUACAGGUCAGAUCGUACACCAAAGCCUGGACCUGGAGGAGGCCCUGUGAGAGAAGUUAAUCCUCCUGCAGGCUCACACGAGAAACGCCCACUCCUGUAGAAAAGGGGAAAAAUUAUAGGGUAACAUAAAGUCAUUGUACAUGUAAUGGGUCUCUGAGAUUUAAAUACCGGCAAUGACCGUUACAUGAGGGGUUAUUUGCAUGUACCUGGGCCCAGGCGGUGGGACCCUGCCGGCUUUAAGUUCAUCAAUAAUAUCCUCAAUAUCCUUUGGUGUUAGGUCCUCCUAGAAACAAGAAGGCAGGAGCAAUGAGAAAAAAGCAGCAGCAUGUGCUGUAUGUUAUUUACCAAUGGUCUUUUAUUGUGGGAGAGGCUAGAAAACCUGAAUCUGUUCCUCUUGCAACUGAGUAGGGUCAUUAUGAUUGUAGCUUAUUCUUGGGAAAAUAUAAACAUAGGUUUCACACUGCAAAUAUAAAUACUGACAUCUUUAAAUAAUAGGUUUUCAAAUUCCAAGAUACAUUGUUAGAGUGGUUGUUUAUCUAACACUUCAGAAUAAAUUUCCAUACGACUGUAUAGCUGCAAAUAUUUUGUUGCUUUCACAAACUAACUGCUUUGAAUUUCCCAAAUGUAAAGCAGUUAUCCCAAUUUUCUCAACAUUGGGUUGGUUUUUAACCCAAGUAAACCAGAAUAAUUCUGGAAUAAAUUUUGGUUCACUUGUCUGCACUAAUUAAAUAACUAUAUUUUCCUAUGCGUUAAUUUCAAGUAAUGUUUAGUUCCGUUAUGGUUUCUAAUUCAAGAAAGAGAUGCAUAGACCAUACCACAGAUGUAUUAGCUUCCAGUGUUUCAUUUCUGAAAUACAGCUGGAAAAUAUACACCCUGCAGGCAGACUUUGCCAGGGUUGAGCCUUACAGUAUUUGUUUAUUAGUUAGAAUGUGUGUGCAAGUCAAGUACUCACAUAAUAGUUGUCAUUGAUCUGGACCAUUGGAGCGUUCACACAGGCGCCGAGGCAUUCAACUUCUAUCAUGGUAAACAUUUUGUCGGGUGUUGUCUCUCCAACCUUGAUACCUGUAGAGAAAUAAAUGUGAACCAGUGCUCCCAUCAAACCUUACUGAGCAUGAGCAAAAGCUGUGCAAAGCUUGUAGGAUCAAGUUCUCAUUGCUGUCAACAAUACCUUAGCUUCUAAAUAAAGGUUGUUAAUACUUAAUAAAUGGGAUAUUUGUUGUUGAAUUGUAUUUAUUUGAAUUUUGCUUUUUCAUCGUAGAUUGAGUAGUAAUUGAAUAAACAUUUAAUAGGCAUUGAUGCAUAAAAUGUGGAAAUAUGAAAACCUUCAAUAUGCAAUUUACAAUUCAUUCUGAAUAUCAGUAGACAGUAGAACUUGUCUAAACUCAAGCAGCUGUGUUUGACAGUGCAUACUUGAUGCACUGUUUGACUUCUAACAAAAUGUAAAUGUAACUCGUUUAAUUGAGGAACAAACAAAUAUCAGUGUUCUCUAUUAAAGCCCACACAGACUGAAAUGGUGUUGAAUUUCAGAGUUGUAUGUCUAUCUCUGCCUGUUUACCACUAUAGCUUGCUCUUGUGCAAAUAUACAGUUAUUUGUGUUACUUAAACAUUUAUUUUUCAUAUUCUAAAUGUUCAUUUAAUUGUAUAUACUCAAUAAAAGAAAUCAUGUUUUCA